GUGUCAGCCGCCGCGGUAAGACAGAGGGUGCGAACGUUGUUCGGAAUUACUGGGCGUAAAGAGCGUGUAGGCGGCUUCGCAAGUCGGGCGUGAAAUCCCACGGCUCAACCGUGGAAGUGCACUCGAAACUGCGAAGCUAGAGUCCUGGAGAGGAAGGUGGAAUGCUUGGUGUAGAGGUGAAAUUCGUAGAUAUCAAGCGGAACACCGGUGGCGAAGGCGGCCUUCUGGACAGUGACUGACGCUUAAGCGCGAAAGCGUGGGGAGCAAACAGGAUUAGAUACCCUCGUAGUCC
rnacentral:rRNA from 1 species